rnacentral:rRNA from 1 species
CCAAUAGCGUAUAUUAAAGUUGUUGCAGUUAAAAAGCUCGUAGUUGAAUUUCGGGAUCAAUAUGCUGGUCGUGCCAUUGGUACGUACUGGUAUUAUUGAUUUCUCCUUUCUGAUGAAUCAUGAUGUCAUUAAUUUGAUGUCAUGGGGAAUCAGGAUUGUUACUUUGAAAAAAUUAGAGUGUUUAAAGCAGGCUCGCGCUUGAAUACAUUAGCAUGGAAUAAUGAAAUAGGACGUUUGAUUCUAUUUUGUUGGUUUCUAGGAUUGACGUAAUGAUUAAUAG